CCGUUCGGCCGGAAUGGAUUAAAAGGGAAUUGGGUGAGAGUCCCAAACAGUCCCGCUGCUGUGAAGCUCUUUUCAACGCCUUGACAAAACUAAAGCCACUGGGUAACACCGGGAAGGAGUCAAGAGCGAGAGUCAGUCAGAAGACCUGCCAUCGUGUGUU
rnacentral:ncRNA from 1 species